GGGAGCUUAGAUGUGGAAGCUCUUUGGAAACCAAGAAACACUCUGAAAAUGAAAAGGGUGGAAGAGUAAACUGUUCCUGUUUCUCCAUCUUGACAGGAAGCAGAAGUUCUCCUUAGCUGAUUUUUCUUCUUGCCUUAUACUGGGUUCUUUAACACCAGAACAAAAAUAAAUAAAUAAAAGAAUCUUCCAGAAAUUCAUGAAGAGACUUCAGGUCAGGAAAGCCUGAACUUUCUCAUCCAACACCCGUUCAAGUCGGAGGAUGCUGAUUAAUUCAUGAUGGAAAGGUAUCAAUUUCACAGCCCAGACCUCUACAUUCUUGAAAUGCUCUUCUCAUGGGAGACAUUAAAUAAGCUUUGAAUUAACUAAAAAUAUCCAACCCGAGCAGGAUAAAACUGAUCAUCCUGAGGAUAUUGCCCUUGGAGUUAAUUUUUUGAGAGAAAUAAAACAAUAAACAUCAUAAGACACAAACCCCAAGCAACUGAUCUCACUGUUAAAAUCCAACCUGAGAACAAUGGAAUGGACCAUACUGUCUUUGUCACAACUCUGCCAUUGCAGCGUGAAAGCAUCCAUAGACGGUACACAAAUGCAUGGAUGUAGUUGUACUCCAGUACAACUGCAAAAAGCAGACAGCUGGCUGGGUUUAGCCUACGGGCCAUAGUUUACACAACUCAAUCUAGGUGAUUGCCUGGUAACUUUGUGAUUGUAAACAGGAAA
rnacentral:lncRNA from 1 species